AGAGUUUGAUCCUGGCUCAGAUUGAACGCUGGCGGCAUGCCUAACACAUGCAAGUCGAACGGGGGUAGCAAUACCUCAGUGGCGGACGGGUGAGUAAUACGUAGGGAUCUGCCCUUAAGUGGGGGAUAGCCCGGGGAAACCCGGAUUAAUACCGCAUGACCUCUUCGGAGCAAAGUGGGGGAUCGCAAGACCUCACGCUU
rnacentral:rRNA from 1 species